GAUGAACGCUAGCUACAGGCCUAACACAUGCAAGUCGAGGGGUAACGACUGGGAAAGCUUGCUUUUCCAGGGCGACGACCGGCGCACGGGUGAGUAACGCGUAUCCAACCUGCCUGGAACCAAGGGAUAACCCGUAGAAAUGCGGCCUAAUACCUUAUGUUGUCCGAAGAAGGCAUCUGACUUGGACAAAAGAUCCGUCGGUUCCGGAUGGGGAUGCGUCUGAUUAGGUAGUAGGCCGGGGGCAACGGCCCACCUAGCCGACGAUCAGUAGGGGUUCCUGAGAGGAAGGUCCCCCCANAUUGGAACUGAGACACGGUCCAAAACUCCUACGGGAGGCAGCAGUGAGGAAUAUUGGG
rnacentral:rRNA from 1 species